AGCCAGCAAGAACCUCCAGGCCUGAGUGACCAGGGCGGGGUAGUCCGGUCUGUCCUCCACAUAGCGCUCGAUCUGAGCGUGCACUGACACCAGCACCUACCAUAGACACGUGCACGUUACUGCACAGGAAGGACCUGAGAAGAGGUUGAGGGUACGACACCAGCUGGGCCAGGAUGCCCGUCAGCAGCAGGUUGACCGCGAUGGAGUUUUCCAGAAGGUUCUCCAAUCGGGACAAGAGGACGCUGAUGAAAGGACCUGAAGUAUCGUGAGAGAAAGAUGAUUUUCUAUGGGCUCAAUACAAAAGAAACGUCUCAAUUUCUUAAACAGUUUGUCUGACAUCUACCACUAAAACCAAUGUCUUUGUUUAUUGGGUCUAAUAGUAAUAAGGCUGCGGUGUGGUCAGUGAAUGAGUAUUAAGUUACCACAGUUUAUUUACGAUUUCAUAACAGGGAAAUAAAUAUCUCACAUUCA